AAUGUACGGCUUCAAUAAAACAAGCAAAUACAUCACCUGAAGAGAUUGAGGUAAAAUUUGCAAGUACAUGCUUGAGGCGCAUAAAUGAAACAUGCGAAUACGUAUGCCAAAGGAAUUAUGUACCCACUAAUGAAAGUAACCUAACAUUGACUUGUACAGAAAAUGGUUGGGAUAGAGAGAAAGACCAACUGUGCGAAGAACUUCGCUGUCCAAAUUCAAUAGCGAACGGCGCACUUGAUGCCUCUUGCGAACGUAAAGUUGGAGGGAUUUGCAAUUUUACGUGCAAUAGCGGGUUUACAAAGACAGAAGAAAAUACGUUUUGCACAACAAAUGGACAAUGGCAUAAAGAUGCUAACGCAUACUGUACACCGUUCCUAUGUACUGAUAAAUUUCCUCAAGCUACAACAACAUCUGUAAACGAGAAGAUUGAAAUCUCCAUUGCUAGCACCUGUACGCGUCAGGUAAAUGAGAGAUGCGAAUAUGUAUGUCCAACAAAUUAUCGUCCAACUGAAAAAGAUAGAACUGAAUUGAAAUGUACUGCUAGUGGAUGGGAAAGAGCAUCAGCCCAAC